UACGGGGGGAGCAAGCGUUGUUCGGAUUUACUGGGCGUAAAGGGCGCGUAGGCGGCGCAACAAGUCACUUGUGAAAUCUCCGGGCUUAACUCGGAACGGUCAAGUGAUACUGUUGUGCUAGAGUGCGGAAGGGGCAACUGGAAUUCUCGGUGUAGCGGUGAAAUGCGUAGAUAUCGAGAGGAACACCUGCGGCGAAGGCGGGUUGCUGGGCCGACACUGACGCUGAGACGCGAAAGCGUGGGGAGCGAACAGG
rnacentral:rRNA from 1 species